AGGUGUUGCCGAGAAAGUGACUUUAAAUUUUAGGUUUAAUGAUUUAGAUUUUAGAAAGGGAGGCCAGCCGGACAACUCACAGAAAAAUAAGUUAAUAAUGAAUAUAGAAAAAGCUAAAUUAAUCAAUCAUAGCCUAACAUAGUAGCUAGUUCAUUACAAGAGGGUCUAUAAAUUAUGGCAUUAAUGCUCAUAUUAAAACUUCAUAGAGCGUGAAAUACUAUUUUCAACAUGGCACGAUUAAAAUUUAGUUUCGUUAUCAGCAUUCUUCUCAUGGCAAUCACAAUCAAUGUGUCGCAGUUUUUCAUUAGGCAAGUAUUGGCUGCAGAAGUUGAUCUUGAGCUCUCGGGACUCAAGCGGAGACUACUACCACAACUUAAGAAUUGGUUUACUUGUGAUAGAAUUUGUGGGUCCGAUAGUGAUUGUAGUGAUUGUUGGUUUUGCUGCCGCUGUAUUCAUGCUGAAUCAUUUCCUACUAGAGUUUGUAGAGGGCCAUUUGGAUAGAAGAUCAAGACCAAUUCUGUUAUAAAUCUUUGAAAGCAUUUGUGUAAUUUCUAUGUGAUUUCAGUAUCUUGUUUUGUUGAUUUUGUUCUAUUAUGUCUUUCAUACUUUGUAUGAAUAACGAAGAAAAUCAAGAGAAUGUCGUGUGUUUACUACUA